rnacentral:rRNA from 1 species
UACGGAGGAUCCAAGCGUUAUCCGGAUUUAUUGGGUUUAAAGGGUGCGUAGGCGGCCUAUUGAGUCAGGGGUGAAAGACGGUAGCUUAACUAUCGCAGUGCCUUUGAUACUGAUGGGCUUGAAUGAACUAGAGGUAGGCGGAAUGUGACAAGUAGCGGUGAAAUGCAUAGAUAUGUCACAGAACACCAAUUGCGAAGGCAGCUUACUAUGGUUUUAUUGACGCUGAGGCACGAAAGCGUGGGGAUCAAACAGG